rnacentral:lncRNA from 1 species
AUCACAUCUCUCUCUCCUCUCCCGAGUCUCUCUCCUCACUGCACUUGAGUUCUCUCUACUAACACCAUGGGCUGUGGUUGUGGAGGUUGUGGUGGCUGUGGCGACUGUAGCAGCUGCACCACCUGCAGAUACUACCGCUGCUGUGGUGGUUGCUGUGGCUGCUGUGGCUGUGGCUGCUGUGGCUGCGGUGGCUGUGGUGGCUGUGGCUGUGGUGGCUGUGGCUGUGGCGGCUGUGGUGGUUGUGGCUGUGGUGGCUGUGGCUGUGGCGGCUGUGGCUGCUGUGGUGGCUGCUGUGGCUGCUGUGGCUGCUGCAGGCCUACAGUAGUCUGCUGCUGCCGCCGCUGCUGCUGCCGCUCCUGUGGCUGUGGCUGUGGCUGUGGCUGUGGGAAGGGCUGUUGCCAGCAGAAGUGCUGCUGCCAGCAGAAGUGUGGCUGCAAGAAGUGUUGCUGUUAGCAUGUCUACCAGGUCUCUGUUUCCUGGUCAUGGGCACCAGGAAAAGAGAGCCUUUCUUCAAACCUCUAGGAUAGCGUUACUGUCCUGGUAUGUCUCCCUGGACUAUGGCUUUGCUUCCAGAUUCUGGGCUCCUUUCUUUUCUACUUUGGUAUUUCUAACCUUCCUCUCUGAGGUGUUUGCUCUCCAAUAACAAAUAGCCACUCCCUGCAGAAGUCACUCCACUGUGCUCCUUCAGAAUGUGGGAACAAGUACUUCUUGUUGUUUCUGCUUCAAGAAGGACUCUUUCUUCCCCGUUCAUUUCCUGUCUCUACACCUUUUCUUUAUUUGUAUUUACCCAAUAUUAUUUUUGUUUUCUAAUAAAAUACAAAUAACUGCUG